AAGUCGUAACAAGGUUUCCGUAGGUGAACCUGCGGAAGGAUCAUUACAAAUCUUGAGUUGGUCCCCCCAGUAAUGGUGGGGGCUGACACAUUAGCACAAGGCCGCAAGGUCUUGAUGUUUACGCUUGUAUGUUUGACAGAGUUUAAAUUGUGACCUUAAAAAUGACAACUUUUAACAACGGAUCUCUUGGCUCUU
rnacentral:misc_RNA from 1 species